GCGCGUAUAGCUCAGUUUGGUUAGAGCGCGUCCCUGAUAAGGACGAGGUCCAUGGUUCGAGUCCAUGCACGCGCA
rnacentral:tRNA from 1 species